rnacentral:lncRNA from 1 species
GGAAAUACGAUCUACGAGGAUUUUCGGGUGGUAAUUCCGUCGUAACCGUUUUUGACCCCAACAGUUAGCCCCCCAGCCCGUUAGGAUCAUGCAUCGUAGGAUCCUAGCGUGCGGUUAGGCAUGUUUGGCAAGUUAGGCGUGAUGGAUGGAAUUAUUAUCCGAAAGUCCGAGCUUGAAUUGUAAAUCCUUAUGUCUUAUAAGAAGGGAGGUAACUUGUUCUCUAAGAUCUUUCUUAAAAAAAAAAAAACUUUCUAUCUUUCUCUCCACCCUUUUCCUCUAUUCUCUCAAGAGAAGUGUAAAGAUGUCGAGCAAGAAAAAGAUUGCGAAAAAGGGUCUUCGUCCGCGAGUCCUUAUGAAGAGCUCGUCGUUCCGAAGAUGGAGUUCGUGCCUCACUCGGUGCAUCCUGCCGAGAACGAGGCAUGGUGGGUUGCUCAUUAUGGCUCGUUGACCCCUCCCAAGGAGAAGCCGUUCCCGGUCCUGGUCCAUCGUGGAGUCGAGGAAGAGGAUGCAAGUAGGACUACCGAUGAGUUUCUCGCGAUGAUGCGAUCGUUCUACCAUAUCUCGGAUGCUGUGGAGUUCCGGGUUCCCCGCCGCGGGGAAUGUGCUAUGGUUCCGCAUACCCGAAAUUCUCGUCCGAGUGUUGGAUCGUUUCGAAGUUGCGAUAAGUCAGUUGACUCCCCUUUCCAUUCAGCAUCUUAUUGGGAUCCUGAUCCUAAGCUACGAGCAUGGCCUUUCCCUUUCCGUCGAUCAUUAUGAAGCGCUUUUGAGGCUUCAAAUUGUCAGAGAUACAGAUAAGCAUAGGUUGGUCCCUCGGAAAUUUAUGUCAGUGGUUAAGAAGUUUAUUUCGAACUUCAACUCGUGGAAGAAGUUCUUUUUCUUCGUUCGUAUAGACGCUGCAUCCGUCAAAUAGAGUUGCAUUCCACUGUUCCGAAGGUUGCCGAAUGAUCGUCCCUUCAUCAACCCUUUUGCUCCGUUCCCCGAGGACAUCAUUUCUGUGAGGGAUCUUCUCAGGAAUGGUCCCUUCUUCUGGACUUCUUUUACGCCGAAGAGGGUUCGGAAGGCACUGAGAUUCGUGCAACCCGGUCCUGCUUUGGAUGCGGACACGGGAAGCGACUCCGAACCUGACGACCAGAAUCCCGUCGAAGCUCCAACGGCUGUGCCGGAGUCGAGUUCUUGGAAGGGAAAAGAUGUCGAUCUUGGCGACAUAGAGUUUUCGAUGGAUGACUCUAUGCUUCUAGGAUGGGAUCCGAACCUUGCUUACGGCGAUGGGAGCGGUUCGAGCGAGGCCCCUGUUCUGGAUUUCGAUGACUUCUUUGCUGGACUGCCACCGGGUUUCGAUGCUCCUCCUCCUACGAAAGAAUCGGCGAGGCCGAGAGUCGUUGCAGAGGGAUCUCGCAUCAUCAAUGGGGUUAGUUUUUGAGGAUUUCUUGGUGAUUGUCCUGUGUAUAUAUGUUUAUAACAUGUCAAUCGAUUUUGCAGGGCCUGAGCCUGCUGGGCUCGGCCAUUGAGGCGGGCCAUACAGAAGCCAUUGUCUACCGCUUUAAAGCGGAGAAAGUGGAGCGGGAUCUCGCUCGCGUGCAAGGCGAGAUGCUGGAGCGAGGAAAGGCAAAAGAGGAGAGGAAAGGCAAAAAGAGAAAUCGUCGAGGUGAUGAACACUCGCGCAUCUCAAUUCCAGGUUGAGUAUGGGAACCUCAAGAAUGCCUUUACCUCGGUGGGUGAAUUUCGCGAGUGCCGCGGUUCGGUCGGAAGUCUUUGGAGGACGCGAGCCGAUGACUAUGUGUUUGAAGAGGAAAUGAGCUUGAUGAAGAAUGGGAUGAGUGAACGUGCCCAUGCUGAGGUGCUUAUCCCUCCGAUUGACGAGAAGAUUCAAGGGUUCUGGGAUUCCAUCCCGGUUUCCCCUGAUACUGAGGAGGUUCCGACCGGGUUUCCUGAUGGUGGCGAGGAAGUGGAUCGUCCCGCGGAUGCGUUCGGUGCUUCGUUGUCUGGGGACUUUGACUUUGGAUUAUGAGGGGCGGAUUAGUUAUCCUUUUAUCUGUUUUCGGCCAAGUGUGGCCCUUUGAAUUUGGAUUUUGUUUAGGCCUAGAUGGCCGUAUUUGUAUUUACCGGGACUGGCCGUUGGUGGCUUUGAAUCCCUUGCCGCUUUACGCGGUUUAUUUAUAUGAUAAAUGUUUUGUUUCGAGUUUUCCUGAGUAGGGUUGAAGUAAAUACGAGUUGUCGUCUCGUAUUUAGUUCUGAUUAGACGUUCAAUCUGUUGGUUCGUUCGUGAUUUUCGUAAAAAUUUACUUAUCUUUACGAUUUUCGAGAACAUUGAGAUAUGAACGGAGAGACAUGGUUUAGGAUCUCGUAUCUUUUAGAUAUCAUGCCUUGAGAUGUUUGAGACCAGAGCGUUGGGUUUAGGGCAAGACCUAGGUUUACUUUCGGUUAAGGUUUGUGCGGUGACUAGCCGGCUAUCGUUUUUCCUGUUGCGAUUUCUUCCUGACUCGCACCGAUUUAAAGUCCGCGAUAUGUUCUCGGCUUAUAUGACUUGUAUGGUACGAAUCGAGCAUCUUCUCAGAAUCAACUGGAAGUGCUAAACCAAAAUUUCGGAUUUUUGUUGUAGCGCGCUUUUGUCCUUGUGCUGGACGUUUUUAAAGAUCAAAAGAGUGAUCGGAUUGCGUUUGUUUAAGACGGCUGGCGUGUUCGUCGGGGCCAAUCGACGAACGGGGUGUAAGGUUUUUGGUGGUCGCGUUCGGACAAUUUGUUAGCAUUGUCCUCGAAUUUUAACUUUUGCGACGUCUCGCAGUUAUUUCGAGGAUUAUACGUAUAUUUUUGCGUGUUUGAAAGAUGAUAAUCUUUACGAUUUUUGGGCCGGAAGGGGCCGCAGACAAGAGUCUUAACGUUUUCAGGCGUGUCCUGAAAGUUUCUUUUGUGUUUUACUGAAGCGUAAACGUUUUCGAUAAAAAGGACAACGUAUAUUGUAGUAAAAGUUUUUGAAGUUUCUAAAAACUCGAUUACAAUAAUGAAGAUUUUUCUAAGUGGGAGUAUACGAGUAUACGCACCCACUCCCCCCCCCCUUUUUAGAGAGGGGGAUAGCUGAACUCGUCUUUUGACGAGCUGCCUACGUACCCCUUUCGAGGAUCAAGCCAUCUCGUAGUUCUGUUUCAUGCCGCGAGUGUUCUUACUCGGCGGUAGAUGUCGCGAUGUCCGCCUUGACCGUGUCGAUCGUGGCUGGGUUGACGCUAUUUUCCGGAUGUUCCGGUUGAGUUGUAGUGUGGGCUUCGGAUUUAUGUCGAGCUUCGACGUCCGAUGCGUUUGCGUCGAUAGACGAUUUUACUUUGUCUUCUCCUGGGGCGGUUUUGGCUGAAGAUCGAUCUAUCUUCGCGCGUUUGCCGUUUGUGGAAGCCGUGAUUUGCCUUAACUUAUGCUCCGCGAGGAAGCAUAGUCGCGACUGCUUUUGGCAUCCCCAGAUGGCCGCGACUCCGCUCGGCGUUGGGAACUUGAGACCCAGGUGGUAAGUUGACGGAACUGCCUGCAUGGCGUUGAGCCAUGGGGUUCCCAUGAUCACGUUGUAGAUAGCGGGAUGAUCGACUACCGCGAAUUCGACGAUUUUUGUGAUCUCCUUGGCCAUGACUGGCAAUUGGAUUGAUCCGAGAGUCAUCGACACUUCGCCUGAAAAAUCCGUGAGUGGUUUUUGCGUCGGAAUUACUUCUCCGAGUUCGAUACUCAUCCGCUUGAGAGUGUCGCGGAAGAUUACGUUGACCGUGCUUCCCGUGUCGACGAGUACCCUUCCGACUUCUAAAUCUCGUAUGACGAGAUCUAUGACGAGCGGGUCGCAGUGAGGUUGGUCGAUACCGCCGGCUUCUUCCUCUGUGAAGGUGAUCGAGCAACUUUGGCCGUCUCGAGGAGGAGACCAUGUAGGCCAAUUUGCACUUGAUUCUGCCUUCCGUUGGUAAGCCUUGAUGGCCGACACGGUAUCGCCGCAGUAUUGUGAUCCUCCGAUGAUCAUAUUGACUCUGCGACGAUUGUUAUCGUUCCCUUUGUCAUCCGGCCUCCUACCGCGUUUAUCCCCAGGUUGGUUUCGUUGAGGGGAUUUUUCAGCGGGCGGAUUUCUAUCCGUCUUUGGAGGGCGAUCAGAAUCGAGGAUGAGAUCCUUGACGCUAGUUACUUCCGAAAGCUCUCCAGCGAGUAGCUUCGCGGCCAGUCUUGCUCCCAAGACUUUGCAAUUGGUCGUGGAGUGUCCUCGGGAUUGGUGGAACUCGCAGAAGGUGUUUUCGUCAUACCCUUGAUUGCGAGUCCAUGUGUUGCCCGUGGUCCGGCCUUGAUCCGAAUUGAUCGCAUAGUUAUGCGCCCCUUGGAGAUCUUCCCCCUCGUGAUGGACGUAUUUGUCGUUACGAGAGUUCUUCUUUUUCCCCUUCGGAUCUGCGUCUUUCGAGGAUGGUCUUGCCGGCUUAUGUUUUUGCGAUAAGACUUUAGUUUCUUCCUCGACUAUGAUGUAGUCCGUUGCUUUGUGGAGGGCGUCCUGGAUCGUUCGCGGUUUGUCGAGAGUUAUCCAUUUUCUGAAUUUCGACUUGUACCAGAGCGUCUUUCUCAGCGCGUCGAUGGCCACUUUGUCGCUUAUCCCGCUGACCCUGGACAUUAUCAGUUUGAACCGACUGAUAAACUCGCGGAGGGGUUCGUCUUCCCUCUGGGAGAGACUCCAUAAGUCAACAUCGGAGGUUUCUCUGUCUAUGAAUACAGAGUACUGUUUGAGAAAUUCCGAUGCGAGCUGUCGAAAACUCCCGAUGGUGUUGCGACGAAGGCGUGCGAACCAUUCGAGCGCUGCUCCUUCAAGAUUUUCGACGAACAGGCGGCAAUAGCCGGCAUCUUUUUCGCCGUCCUUCAGUCUUGCUCUUCCCAUCGCGAUGUGGAAAGCCUGAAGGUGCGCUUUUGGAUCGGCCGUACCAUCGUACUUCGGUACUUUGAUCUUUCCCGGAUCGGACACCCUCAUGUCCGAAAUGCGACUGGUAAAGGGGGUCUUUCGAGCUCCUUCUAGCAGUCGAUCGAUCUCGGGGGCAGCACUAGUAGCAUGAUGGAUUUGAGACUUUACGGCUCUCACUUCUGCCGCAGUCUUGGUGAUGUAGUCGCGAAGAUCGCGGAUAUCCGAUGUCUCGUCAGUAGAUUUCCGAGCCUGUCGGUGUUUACUGCGAGUGAGCUCGGUUUGCCUUUCGGCCAGCUCCUCUUGUUCGUUCCAAUAGGCGACUUCUUCUUCUUCCGUCAUUGGUUUUUCGAACGGGGAGCCUUCCCGAGCGGAUCGGCUUCUGGUCCUUCUUGGAUGUCUGUCGACAUCCUCGUCGGUGUCGUUGGAGACAUCGCUAGGAUCCAGGUCAAUGUGUUCGGCUUCGUUUAUCCUCCGAGUCCUUUGCAGGGGGCGGAAGAUUUUCAGGGUUCCCCUUUUCGACGGGAGAUUUCUCGCUAGGGUUUUGACCGGAAGGUCGUUCCCGCGCGAGUCCUGCUCUAUCGAGUGGGGUGGCGAAGUCGAGCCUCUUCCCGCGGAUUUUGGUGGUUCCGCGGGGACGGAUAGCUUGGGUCCUUGCCGUUAAGGUUUCAACCUGUUUGGUUAAGGUAUUCACGAGCUUAUCCUGUUCUUCCGACCUUUUCUCAUAGGUGGCGAACAUCUUUUUGAACUCCUCGAGCGUCGCGGCGUUGGCUUGCGCGUUGGCCGCGGAUACGUCCGCUACUGGAGUGUGGAGAUCGGUGCCGCUGCCUCCAUUAAGAGGAGUUUGCACGUUAUCCGCGUCGUUGGUUGACAUGUCAGAUUGUGUGUGGCUUUUGCGGGUUAGAUUGAUCCGUAAGUCCCCCUCCUUCUAGCGCCAAACUGUGGGAACCGAAAUUCACACUGUCGAUUUCCGUUUAAAUAAGGAAACUAGGAAAACCCUAAUUUCCCAGAGGACCCGGAUAUCUGUUAAUUACCACACGUCAAGCAAUCAGAACACGAGAAUAACAACGAUAAAAAUAAGAAAUCGAAAAGAGAGCAAAGUAGAUCUUUAUUCCGAAUCUGCGUAUGAGCGUUACAACAAGGUAUAAGCCUGGGCUCGAGAGCUGUCGGCGAGAUUCCUAGUUCUAGCAACCCUAAGACGGCUAAACCUAAUUGAGUCGCAGCUCGAAAUAACAAAAACGGAAAAUUGCCUAAAUUGCUCUAAGUGCUAAGUUUGCUCUGAAAAAGUUCUCCCCUGCUCCUCGCCUAGGACUCCUUAUAUACUAGCUCCAAGGUCGGUUUACGCUUUUACUCUUCUGCCCUUAAGCCGUCAUAGCAUAAAAAUGGAGAUAUUCCAUUUUUCCCGAUCUUCACAAUUAUCUUCAAAACUUCCGUAUUUAUCCGCGGAAACUUGACAUUUAUCCUUCCUCGUGGGCCAAGCGUGAACCAUGCUGCGGUUCACGGGCUUUGGUUAGGAAAAAUCGUAGGAUGGGCCUCGAGUCGUGUUUUAGGUCCCUUUGGGCCGUCUUCCGACUCGACACGUUUACUACGAGUUUUCCGCGGUUUCUAAUCCGCGAAGUUUGAUCGAUGAAUUAGAAUAGCGGGAAACAUGGACUGAGCUUGCUACGGUCUUCGGGAGAUAGCAUUCGAAGGUUUGACGAGAAUGCAAGGAUUGGUGUCGUAUCGAUGUUCGGAAAGGUUCAAUCGCUACACAGCGACCGAACUUUGGCUCGAGCCCGGUCGCUACGUAGCGACCGAGCGAGACGAGUGCUCGGUCGCUACGUAGCGACCGAGCUUUGGCUUGAGCUCGGUCGCUACGUAGCGACCGAGCUUGGCCGAGCUCGGUCGCUACGUAGCGACCGAGCGGGACGAUCGCUCGGUCGCUACGUAGCGACCGAGCUUUGGCUCGAGCUCGGUCGCUACGUAGCGACCGAGCGGGACGAUCGCUCGGUCGCUACGUAGCGACCGAGUUUGGCUGAGCUCGGUCACUACGUAGCGACCGAGCGGGAAGAUCACUCGGUCGCUACGUAGCGACCGAGCUUUGGCUCGAGCUCGGUCGCUACGUAGCGACCGAGCGGGAUGAUCGCUCGGUCGCUACUUAGCGACCGAGCAGGACGAUCGCUCGGUCGCUAUGUAGCGACCGAACUUUGGCUCGAGCUCGGUCGCUACGUAGCGACCGAGCGGGACGAUCGCUCGGUCGCUACGUAGCGACCGAGCUUUGGCUUGGGCUCGGUCGCUACCUAGCGACCGAGCGGGACGAGCGCUCGGUCGCUACGUAGCGACCGAGCUUGGCCGAGCUCGGUCGCUACGUAGCGACCUAGUGGGACGAUCGCUCUGUCGCUACGUAGCCACUGAGCUUUGACUCGAGCUCGGUCGCUACGUAGCGACCGUGCGGGACGGUCGCUCGGUCGCUACGUAGCGACCGAGCUUUGGCUCAGGUUUGGUUGCUGCAUAGCGAUCGGACGGCGUGUAUACGUGGUGACCGAGCUUGGUUUGUUCGGUUUGAAUCCCAAAGGAUACUUUUUCGUAAAAACUUCGUAUUGGUUAUUUUUACGAAAAUUACAUCU